GCAGUCGCCGCGGUAAUACGGAGGGUGCAAGCGUUAAUCGGAAUUACUGGGCGUAAAGCGCACGCAGGCGGUCUGACAAGUCAGAUGUGAAAUCCCCGGGCUUAACCUGGGAACUGCAUUUGAAACUGUCAGGCUGGAGUCUUGUAGAGGGGGGUGGAAUUCCAGGUGUAGCGGUGAAAUGCGUAGAGAUCUGGAGGAAUACCGGUGGCGAAGGCGGCCCCCUGGACAAAGACUGACGCUCAGGUGCGAAAGCGUGGGGAGCAAACAGGAUUAGAUACCCCUGUAGUCCCUGUCUCUUAUAC
rnacentral:rRNA from 1 species